rnacentral:tRNA from 1 species
GGUCGCGUGGUGUAGAGGCCCAACACGUCGCCCUGUCACGGCGAAGAUCACGGGUUCGAAUCCCGUCGCGACCGCAA